CUUCCACAAGCACAACCCUUCUUCAGACGUCCAUAUACACUUCUCCCAAAAUCCUGUGCUUAACACAUUGUUACUGAGCACACAGGCGUGCUGGGGCAAGCGACGCCUGGGAAUAUGAAGCGAACGCCACACACUAGAACGCGCCCUGGGAGCUGGCCUCCGGUGGGGGACGCAGGUGUUGAAGACAUAACCGCAUGACCGAGAAACCUCAGUUUUGCUCUGAAGGCCUUCAACUGCCCGGCCGAGGCUCACCCACACCAAGGGGAAUCCCUUCUCUUAAAGUCAACUGAUGGUAGAUGUCAACCACAGCUACAAAACACCGUCACAGCAACACCUGGGUUAGCGUUUGAUUGAAUAAAUGUGACUGGAGCCUGGCCAAGUUGAUACAUAAAAUCAACCGGCACAUUCCUUUUAGGUGAGGAUUCUUUCCCUCUCUCUUUGAGG
rnacentral:lncRNA from 1 species